rnacentral:lncRNA from 1 species
GCAUCUGCAGAGGGUCUGGGUGUGGAGGUGGUGGAUGACAAGGGCUCUCUAACUAGUCGUUGUUUGUUCAGGUUUUGUUGUGGCCAUGCAUUUGAAGUUCUUAUCAAAAGUGCUUUUGUUGUAUGAUGGGUGGUGAUUAGAUUUUAAAAUUUGUGUUUGGAAUUUGGGUUUUGGAGAAGAGAAAGAAAACUCUUUGAAGUUAAUGAGAGAACUAAAGGACAAUAGAGGAUAUGUAUAUAUGUAU